rnacentral:rRNA from 1 species
CGGAGGGUGCAAGCGUUAUCCGGAUUUACUGGGUUUAAAGGGUGCGUAGGUGGGUCUGUAAGUCAGUGGUGAAAUCUCCGAGCUUAACUCGGAAACUGCCAUUGAUACUAUAGAUCUUGAAUUAUCUGGAGGUAAGCGGAAUAUGUCAUGUAGCGGUGAAAUGCUUAGAUAUGACAUAGAACACCAAUUGCGAAGGCAGCUUACUACGGAUUUAUUGACACUGAGGCACGAAAGCGUGGGGAUCAAACAGGAUUAGAUACCCUGGUAGUCCACGCCCUAAACGAUGGAUACUCGACAUCAGCGAUACACUGUUGGUGUCUGAGCGAAAGCAUUAAGUAUCCCACCUGGGAAGUACGAUCGCAAGAUUG